GACGAACGCUGGCGGCGUGCUUAACACAUGCAAGUCGAACGGAAAGGCCCUGCUUUUGUGGGGUGCUCGAGUGGCGAACGGGUGAGUAACACGUGAGUAACCUGGCCUUGACUUUGGGAUAACUUCAGGAAACUGGGGCUAAUACCGGAUAGGAGCUCCUGCUGCAUGGUGGGGGUUGGAAAGUUUCGGCGGUUGGGGCUGGACUCGCGGCUUAUCAGCUUGUUGGUGGGGUAGUGGCUUACCAAGGCUUUGACGGGUAGCCGGCCUGAGAGGGUGACCGGCCACCUUGGGACUGAGAUACGGCCCAGAGUCCUACGGGAGGCAGCAGUGGGGAAUAUUGCACAAUGGGCGGAAGCCUGAUGCAGCAACGCCGCGUGCGGGAUGACGGCCUUCGGGUUGUAAACCGCUUUCGCCUGUGACGAAGCGUGAGUGACGGUAAUGGGUAAAGAAGCACCGGCUAACUACGUG
rnacentral:rRNA from 1 species